rnacentral:tRNA from 1 species
GCGGGUGUAGUUUAAUGGUAAAACCUCAGCCUUCCACGCUGAUGUCGUGGGUUCGAUUUCCAUAACCCGCUCCA